rnacentral:tRNA from 1 species
GCCCAGUUGGUUAAGUGUCAGACUCCUGAUUUCAGCUCAGGUCAUGAUCUCAGUUCAUGGGAUUGAGCCCCAUGUUGGGCC